CCUACGGGAGGCAGCAGUGGGGAAUAUUGCACAAUGGGGGAAACCCUGAUGCAGCGACGCCGCGGGAGUGAAGAAGUAAUUCGGUAUGUAAAGCUCUAUCAGCAGGGAAGAAAAUGACGGUACCUGAGUAAGAAGCCCCGGCUAACUACGUGCCAGCCGCCGCGGUAAUACGGAGGUGGCAAGCGUUAUCCGGAUUUACUGGGUGUAAAGGGAGCGGAGACGGCAGUGCAAGUCUGGAGUGAAAGGCGGGGGCUCAACCCACGGACUGCUCUGGAAACUGUACGGCUGGAGUGCAGGAGAGGUAAGUGGAAUUCCUAGUGUAGCGGUGAAAUGCGUAGAUAUUAGGAGGAACACCAGUGGCGAAGGCGGCUUACUGGACUGUAACUGACGUUGAGGCUCGAAAGCGUGGGGAGCAAACAGGAUUAGAUACCCUUGUAGUC
rnacentral:rRNA from 1 species